CACGUCUGCCCUCGGGUGCAGUGGGCUCCUGGGGCUGCGGUUCCCAGGUGCGCUCCCGCUGUGAGCGUCUCGAGAACUUGUUGGAAAUACAGGUUCCAGCCCAGACUCGCUGAAUUGAAACUCUAGCAGUCUGAGCUCACAGUCCGGGUAAUUCAGCUUAGAGAUGCGGAGACAGACUGCAAAGAACCGAGAACCCGGCGAAGGUCACAGCCGGCAGGUCCGGACUCAGCGGCCCUCCUCUCUGUACAGAAGGUUUGUCUACACUCUCUAGCUUGCUCUCUCUGCUCCAGUUCACUCCUCGGUCGGGGACAGAAGGGCUGCGUUUGUCCAGGCCGCCGGAGACCUUCACUUCUGAAUCCACAUCCUCUCUGGGUCUUACUAACACCAGGCGUUUGUUCCGGACUGUCUCUUUGGAACACUCUCCACGCCGCCACCCCCCAGGUGCCUCUAUCCUGGGCCCAUUCCCCUUAACCUUGGGAUGGGUUUUUCCAAAGAGUACGUCCUUAACUGGUUGCAUCCACAGGGACCCAAAUCUGCAAUCUGUGGGACCUCAGCCGGGCACCAGGUGCCCACCUGGGCUCGGGGAUCUGCAGACCCGGCAUUCCCGCCUCCCCGGCCAAGCCUGGUCCUCCGCUGGGCCACACCUCUGUUGCCUGCCUCCCUCCCCUCCCCCACUGCCGCCCCGUUGGCAACCUCUGACCCUCGCCUCCAGUCCUGGCUAAGCCCUCACAACUCCUCACCUGCAUAGUGUGCGGCUUUCUCAUUCACUCUUUCAUUCCGCAGACAUUUCCUGGCGCCUCCCAGCACAGGGUGCUGGGUGUUCCUGAAGAACCAUGUCCCUAUGGUCAUAGAACUUAUGUCCUCCCUAGAGAUGGACACACAACUCUGUUGACAGCCCACCUCUCUCCUACUUAGGGUGGUUUGAACUCCCCAUCCUAAAAAAACAAAGCCCACUCUAUACCACACCCCUCCACCCACCUGCCCACUUCUCUACUCUUCUUUACAAGAUAAUACCCGCCUGCCCUCCCAACUAUCUGCACCCUCAUCUCCACUUUCUCAGCCCUCCUCGUCCUCCAUUGUCACCACCAACUCCUGUGUUUUACACACACUGGCCAAUUCUCUGCUUUUUUCUGAACUGACCUCUGGCAGCAUACUCACCCCUGAACGCUGCCGUCUACCGCCUCUCCUGCACCUCCCUCUGCUGCUUCCUCCCGCAGCCUGGAAAUGCGCCCCCACACCUCAGCCUCAGUCUUCGGUGCUUCUCAGGCCCUUGAGCUGCUCAUGUUCACUUAGGGCUCAAGAUUUGUUCCCAAGCUCAAUGGCCCCACUGGGCUGACCAUCCCCCUCAUCCCCCGCCAUCUCUCAUCCCACCAGGCCUCCCUCAGACAGGCCCUUCUCCAUCUCAGGGUGCCCACGCCUUCUUUUCCCAUUCUCAGCUCAGAGUUCUCUGGUGCUGGGUGGUCACCUCCAUUUGGUGAUUACAUUCACUGCUGCCACCUGGUCCAGCUGGGAUUUUUGCAUCAGCCUUCUGUUUCCCUAAAACCUAAGUCCAUCCAUGUCCAUCUCUCUGGACAUAGGAGUUGCAGUGGUUCCCAUCAUCCUAAGAGACCCCAGGCCUUCCUGCCCUGUCUCCCACCGGCCUCAUUCUGGUUCAUCCCCACCAGCCCCUGGCUGCCUCCUGCCUCCAGGCCUUUGUGUGUAUGGUGACACUUUUGCCCAGACUCACACUUCCUUCCAGCACCCACUCAACAUUUCUGACGCCCAUGUGAGUCUGCUUCCAGCCCCACCCCAUGGGCACCCCUCCACGCCCACCACAGGAGAGAGCAGGAACCUGCCACCCAGGGGUGAGAGUGUGGGAUGCAGUCCCCAGCCCCCCUCUCCUGGCCCUAUGGCCAGCACUGGGGCUGUGUCCCCUGGGCUAUCGGCAGCCCAGCCUGGCAUGAGGCCUUGGGCAAGAUGCCCCACUGCACCCUCCCCCCACAUUCCGUCCCCAGAGUUGGGUGGAGAUAGAGGAGGAAGGGUCAGUUGGUCCAGUCCUUGAUGCCCACUGAAGGCAGCACUGGCCAGCCAGGGCCCUUCCCUGGGCACCGUCUCCUGGACCUGCUCCAUCCAAGGCCCCACCAAACACAAGAGCCUUUUCUAAGGAGGGAAGCGCUGGCCACGAUGGGAGCCUCCGCAUCCAAAUGGCCCCAUGGAUACUGGACUCUGCCUGAAAACCUGAGGGCCACGUGGGACCCUCCGUCCAGGGGGCUGGAAGCUGGGGCCACCAGUCUUGGUGAGGAAGUCCAGAGAGGG
ensembl:lncRNA